GCUUACGGCCAUACCACCCUGAGCGCGCCCGAUCUCGUCUGAUAUCGGAAGCUAAGCAGGGUCGGGCCUGGUUAGUACUCGGAUGGGAGACCGCCUGGGAAUACCAAGUGCUGUAAGCU
rnacentral:rRNA from 1 species